UUUUUUUUAUUUCUUCUCCACCAUCUUUUCUUUUCCUACAAAGAUUUUGUCCAAGAUGGUGAAGGAAUACUUUGCGACUGAGAUAGACAUGGCAAUGACGAGUUGUCACAACGAUCUCGUAGCUUCCUAGCGUGAAUCGAGGAUUAAGUCUUUCAAAGGAUGGGUCUUUGAAGAUGGAGUUGGAGCAAAUUUUUGGCACAAAAGAAGCAAAGACAUGCGCAGACGUCAAAGCUGCCACGUAUGUUUAUCAGCGGGAGGUGGUACAUCGGAGGGUUCAGAAUAUUCACUGUUUUAAACUUCAUGGGAAGAUUUGUCUUCUUUCCUCCAUUAAUGAUAUUAAGCUACCAAUGAUGUUUUCCAUCUUGUUGUUGCAGAUUUAUUGUUCCUUCACCAAUUCUUCAUUUAUCCAUUAUGAAGAAAUUUUUAUUACAUACUUAAUCUUUUAGUUUCUAGUACUUAUUCAAUGAUUUGAAUUGUUUGUUUUAAUGGUUGUUACAAUUCGAGAUCUGUUUGGAUUAUGUAUUGUGAAAAUAUUUACAGGAGUGGCUAUA
rnacentral:lncRNA from 1 species